rfam:Marine metagenome ctg_1101668624309, whole genome shotgun sequence.
AGAAUCCCGCCCGGAAAGGGUUGGCCACCCACCGAAAGCGAGUCUUGCGUGGCGUCGGGUAACCGCCGCUGCGAAGCGGAGACAGCGAGCGUGCAGGCCCUGUGAUUGAGCCCCGAAAUGACCGCACUGGGGGCCGAGGUUUUCGAGACGACGGAAGGCACUACCGAUGCGCCGCACUGGCCUGGCGCGGAGGUCCCGCCGGGGUCGAAGAGCA